rnacentral:lncRNA from 1 species
CAGGUUAGUUAUAAAAGUGAGUUGGGCUCCUCUUGCCCUCUCUCCUGUGUUCUCUUGCAUGUGGUACCUUUCACCAAACACCAAAUGGACUAAGACAACUACUUAAUCAUCACAACAAACUUAUUGAGGAACCCUAUUUUUACCAGCAUUUAUAAAAUGGGAAAACUCAAACACAGAGGGAUAUGCAACCGCCGAAAUUCACACGCCAAAUGACAAGUUUGUUUUGACAACCACCAUCUCAUUGUUGAGACCCUGCUCAGUAUGAGCCUUUCUGGCUCCACCAGCUUCUAGCUUGGCACCAACCAAGACCUUGUCAGCCUUCAGUCUACAUGGCAUGGGUACAGAAAUCCUAUCACCUAAGAUUUCCCUAAGGAGCCGGGCUUUCAAGAUUCACCAUUGUGCUCUCCAGCUGGCUCUGAAGAAGCAAGCCACCACAUUGCUCACUGCUCGUGGAGAGGAACACACGUGGAGGAACUGUGCAUAGCCUCCAGGAGCUGAGUGUAGCUUCCAGGUGACAGUCAGGAAAAAUCUAGAGCUCUCAGUCCUACUACCGAGGCUGGAGUGCAAUGGCAUGAUCUCGGCUCACUGCAACCUC